rnacentral:rRNA from 1 species
AACGAACGCUGGCGGCAUGCCUAACACAUGCAAGUCGAACGAGACCUUCGGGUCUAGUGGCGCACGGGUGCGUAACGCGUGGGAAUCUGCCCUUGGGUUCGGAAUAACUCAGAGAAAUUUGAGCUAAUACCGGAUGAUGACGAAAGUCCAAAGAUUUAUCGCCCAGGGAUGAGCCCGCGUAAGAUUAGCUUGUUGGUGGGGUAAUGGCCUACCAAGGCGACGAUCUUUAGCUGGUCUGAGAGGAUGAUCAGCCACACUGGGACUGAGACACGGCCCAGACUCCUACGGGAGGCAGCAGUGGGGAAUAUUGGACAAGGGGCGAAAGCCUGAUCCAGCAAUGCCGCGUGAGUGAUGAAGGCCUUAGGGUUGUAAAGCUCUUUUACCAGGGAUGAUAAUGACAGUACCUGGAGAAUAAGCUCCGGCUAACUCCGUGCCAGCCGCCGCCGUAACAC